rnacentral:rRNA from 1 species
CACGUAGGGGGCAAGCGUUGUCCGGAUUUAUUGGGCGUAAAGAGCUCGUAGGCGGCUUAGUAAGUCGGGUGUGAAACCUCCAGGCUCAACCUGGAGACGCCACCCGAUACUGCUGUGGCUAGAGUCCGGUAGGGGAGCGUGGAAUUCCUGGUGUAGCGGUGAAAUGCGCAGAUAUCAGGAGGAACACCGGUGGCGAAGGCGGGUCUCUGGACAGUUCCUGACGCUGAGGCACGAAGGUCAGGGGAGCAAACGGG